CCAAUCUCAGGCAAUGGCCGAAAGCUGUUUUCCGGCGAUCACGUCUUCUCCGUUGGCAGUCACAAAUUCAUUUCUUGAUGAUGAAGAUGGAGGUCUCUUUCAUCAUCUUGAGGAAUCCAGGGUGAAGGCAGGGAAAAUAAAUACAGAGAGUUUUUCUUGGUUUUAAGAGCCAUGAAAAUAUAACUUCAGUAAGCCCGGUUUUCGCUCAAUUUGAGAUAAAUAUUGCAAGGAGGCGCAAGUUUUUAUAUUUGAAGUUGACGCUGCAUUGCCCAUCGCAUUUUGAAGAUUCUGGAAUCGGCACUAGGUACAUGGGAAGAAAUAACUAUUUGAGGAAGAAGGAAGAUGGUUGGCUGAAUGUAGGGCCGGCCCAAGGGUAAGCCCAUCAAGCCACAUUGGGCUUAGGCAUCCCCAUCCCUAAAAACAAUUAUAUUUCUAUUAUAUCUUUAUUUUAAUUAUUAUACAUCUGGUUCAGGGGUUUAGUGGUAUGAUUCUUAUUUUUGGUGUAUGAAUUGGAUUCUUGAAAUUCCCAUAGUAUUGUUAUUUUGUGAUAUUUUUCACUAUGAAAAAUAAUUUGGGAUUAGGAUUGGGCUAGAGUAGCUCAAAUUCCCAAUCCUCUACUUUUGAAGUUUAGAGGCAAUAAAUGCAGUGGUUAGGUUUUAUGGAUUGGAUAGAACCUUACCAACCUUGUGAUGUAAUUCAUGUCUCUUUCUCUAUACAAUUACCUUCCCAUUUUAGCAAUUGUUAUGUUAUUUUGUGGAUUGUUUUGGUUUGUUGA